AUUGAAUGCUGGCGGCAGGCCUAACACAUGCAAGUCGAGCGGAUGAAGGGAGCUUGCUCCUGGAUUCAGCGGCGGACGGGUGAGUAAUGCCUAGGAAUCUGCCUGGUAGUGGGGGAUAACGUCCGGAAACGGGCGCUAAUACCGCAUACGUCCUGAGGGAGAAAGUGGGGGAUCUUCGGACCUCACGCUAUCAGAUGAGCCUAGGUCGGAUUAGCUAGUUGGUGGGGUAAAGGCCUACCAAGGCGACGAUCCGUAACUGGUCUGAGAGGAUGAUCAGUCACACUGGAACUGAGACACGGUCCAGACUCCUACGGGAGGCAGCAGUGGGGAAUAUUGGACAAUGGGCGAAAGCCUGAUCCAGCCAUGCCGCGUGUGUGAAGAAGGUCUUCGGAUUGUAAAGCACUUUAAGUUGGGAGGAAGGGCAGCAAGUUAAUACCUUGCUGUUUUGACGUUACCAACAGAAUAAGCACCGGCUAACUUCGUG
rnacentral:rRNA from 1 species